rnacentral:rRNA from 1 species
GAUGAACGCUGGCGGCGUGCCUAAUACAUGCAAGUCGAGCGAACAGAUGAGGAGCUUGCUCCUCUGACGUUAGCGGCGGACGGGUGAGUAACACGUGGAUAACCUACCUAUAAGACUGGGAUAACUUCGGGAAACCGGAGCUAAUACCGGAUAAUAUAUUGAACCGCAUGGUUCAAUAGUGAAAGACGGUUUUGCUGUCACUUAUAGAUGGAUCCGCGCCGCAUUAGCUAGUUGGUAAGGUAACGGCUUACCAAGGCAACGAUGCGUAGCCGACCUGAGAGGGUGACCGGCCACACUGGAACUGAGACACGGUCCAGACUCCUACGGGAGGCAGCAGUAGGGAAUCUUCCGCAAUGGGCGAAAGCCUGACGGAGCAACGCCGCGUGAGUGAUGAAGGUCUUCGGAUCGUAAAACUCUGUUAUUAGGGAAGAACAAAUGUGUAAGUAACUAUGCCCGUCUUGACGGUACCUAAUCAGAAAGCCACGGCUAACUACGUG